UACGUAGGGUGCAAGCGUUGUCCGGAAUUAUUGGGCGUAAAGAGCUCGUAGGCGGUUUGUCGCGUCUGCUGUGAAAACCCGAGGCUCAACCUCGGGCCUGCAGUGGGUACGGGCAGACUAGAGUGCGGUAGGGGAGAUUGGAAUUCCUGGUGUAGCGGUGAAAUGCGCAGAUAUCAGGAGGAACACCGGUGGCGAAGGCGGGUCUCUGGGCCGAUACUGACGCUGAGGCACGAAAGCGUGGGGAGCAAACAGG
rnacentral:rRNA from 1 species